UACGUAGGGGGCAAGCGUUAUCCGGAUUUACUGGGUGUAAAGGGCGUGUAGGCGGCUCCGCAAGUCAGAUGUGAAAUUCCCAGGCUUAACCUGGGGGCUGCAUCGGAAACUGCGGAACUUGAGUAUUGGAGAGGUUAGUGGAAUUCCUAGUGUAGCGGUGAAAUGCGUAGAUAUUAGGAGGAACACCAGUGGCGAAGGCGGCUAUCUGGACAAUAACUGACGCUGAGGCGCGAAAGCGUGGGGAGCAAACAGG
rnacentral:rRNA from 1 species